rnacentral:rRNA from 1 species
GUCCACCUGUUCCCAUACCGAACACAGAAGUUAAGCUCAGUGGUGCCGAAAAUACUUGGCUGGUGACGGCCCGGGAAGAUAGGGAGAUGCCA